GCGGCCUUGGCGUAACCGGCAGCCGCGCGGGUUUUAGGUGCCCGUGGGAGAAAUCCCGUGAGGGUUCGAAUCCCUCAGGCCGCA
rnacentral:tRNA from 1 species